rnacentral:rRNA from 1 species
CCUACGGGAGGCAGCAGUGAGGAAUAUUGGUCAAUGGGCGAGAGCCUGAACCAGCCAAGUCGCGUGAAGGAUGACGGCCCUACGGGUUGUAAACUUCUUUUGUCAGGGAGCAAUUGAGUCCACGUGUGGUCUUAGCGAGAGUAUCUGAAGAAAAAGCAUCGGCUAACUCCGUGCCAGCAGCCGCGGUAAUACGGAGGAUGCGAGCGUUAUCCGGAUUUAGUGGGUUGAAAGGGUGCGUAGGCGGAAUAUCAAGUCAGCGGUAAAAAUUCGGGGCUCAACCCCGUCGUGCCGUUGAAACUGAUGUUAUUGAGUGUGCGAGAAGUAGGAGGAAUGCGGGGUGUAGCGGUGAAAUGCAUAGAUAUCACGCAGAACACCGAUUGCGAAGGCAGCAUACCGGCGCCCAACUGACGCUGAAGCACGAAAGCGUGGGUAUCGAACAGGAUUAGAUACCACAGUAGUC